rnacentral:lncRNA from 1 species
GCCCCUUGUGGGUGGGACCAUCUCUGGGCUGGUAGUCUUGGUUCGAUAACAGAGCAGGCUGAGCAAGCCAGGAGAAGCAAGCCAGUAAGGAACAUCCCUCCAUGGCUUCUGCAUCAGCUCCUGCUUUCUGACCUGCUUGAGUUCCAGUCCUGACUUCCUUUGGUGAUGAACAGCAACAUGGAAGUGUCAAGAAGACCUUGACACUUCAGAGCCUGGCUUUGAUAUUCCUUGUGGAGAGGACAGUCCCAGACCCUCUAGUAUCAUCUAAGUGGACCAUGACCCCUCCAGGAUCUGAAGCCCGCUGUGAUCACACCCAUGCAGCUUAGGCUUCUGGAACCAGGGAAUUCCAAGAGAGGACAUUCUGAGAGCUCAAUAAAAAGCAAGUUUUUGUAUAUUUCUCCUGUGAAGAAUGAGCAUAACCUUUAAAAGGAGGAAGUGGGAUAAAUGCCAAGUACUUUGGGCAGAGGAUAUUUGCAGUGAUGUUUGUUGGUGCUGGAACCUGAACCAUGAAUUUUCUGUCAGUCAUCCUUUAUACUGCUUAUAUGGAAGAGAUAUGGAGUAUAGUAUCUGAUGAC